CCUACGGGAGGCAGCAGUGGGGAAUCUUGCGCAAUGGGCGAAAGCCUGACGCAGCAACGCCGCGUGCGGGAAGAAGGCUUUCGGGCUGUAAACUGCUUUCAGCAGGAACGAAAAUGACGGUACCUGCAGAAGAAGGAGCGGCCAACUAUGUGCCAGCAGCCGCGGUGAUACAUAGGCUUCAAGCGUUGUCCGGAUUUAUUGGGCGUAAAGAGUUCGUAGGCGGUCGAGUAAGUCGGGUGUGAAAAUUCUGGGCUCAACCCAGAGACGCCACCCGAUACUGCUUGACUUGAGUUCGAUAGGGGAGUGGGGAAUUCCUAGUGUAGCGGUGAAAUGCGCAGAUAUUAGGAGGAACACCGGUGGCGAAGGCGCCACUCUGGAUCGAUACUGACGCUGAGGAACGAAAGCAUGGGUAGCAAACAGGAUUAGAUACCCUGGUAGUCCAUGCCGUAAACGGUGGGCACUAGGUGUGGGUUUCUAUUAACGAAAUCCGNGCCGUCGCUAACGCAUUAAGUGCCCCGCCUGGGGGAGGUACGGUCGCGAGACUAAACUAAAGUAAGUAGACGCGUGAGACGNGCCGAGACGACGACGAGGGAGUAGG
rnacentral:rRNA from 1 species